GACGAACGCUGGCGGCGUGCUUAACACAUGCAAGUCGAACGAAGAGCGAUGUAAGCUUGCUUCUAUCAAUCUUAGUGGCGAACGGGUGAGUAACGCGUAAUCAACCUGCCCUUCAGAGGGGGACAACAGUUGGAAACGACUGCUAAUACCGCAUACGAUCUAAUCUCGGCAUCGAGGAUAGAUGAAAGGUGGCCUCUACAUGUAAGCUAUCACUGAAGGAGGGGAUUGCGUCUGAUUAGCUAGUUGGAGGGGUAACGGCCCACCAAGGCGAUGAUCAGUAGCCGGUCUGAGAGGAUGAACGGCCACAUUGGGACUGAGACACGGCCCAGACUCCUACGGGAGGCAGCAGUGGGGAAUCUUCCGCAAUGGACGAAAGUCUGACGGAGCAACGCCGCGUGAGCGAUGACGGCCUUCGGGUUGUAAAGCUCUGUUAAUCGGGACGAAAGGCCUUCUUGCGAAUAGUGAGAAGGAUUGACGGUACCGGAAUAGAAAGCCACGGCUAACUACGU
rnacentral:rRNA from 1 species